AGCAUUCAUCUCCUGAAGAAGAUCAAUCCUAUGAUGGGUACAGUACUUCGUAAGCUAUAUUACCGUCUAUCAUCAUAAUUAUUUUUGUUAACAUCUUCUUUUAUGAAUGUAGUGACAGAUAUGAAAUAGGAAGUGAAGAUCUAGAUGAAUUGUUAAGGGAAAACAAUGAAAAAUCUGCUGCAGAGGGGUAUAUCUUCUUGGGGUGUAUAUUUCAGAUUUUAGUGUGUUUUCUUUGCUAAUAAUUGUUUCUUGUUUCGCAGGGAGAAGGAAGCUGACAUGCGAUCGACAGAAGGUCGCUAUGUCUCCUCUGAAACAAUACCGGACGUGAACUUGGGAAGUGAUGAUCCUUCCUCUCAAGGACACACAGAACAAAGUAGUGUAAACAGGCCGGCAGAGAGCAUGUUGAGUCUGGUUCAAGAGUCAGCCAGUGAGCUGGCUGAUUCGAAUAUAAUGGUUGUGAGGGAAGAGACACCGUUGGAAGCGCUUGCAAU